UGAGGGGUGGGGUAGGGUUUUUAGAAUAUGAAAUUUAGAAUUCUAAUAAAUAUAUAAAUAAAUACUUAAAAAUAUAAAAAAAAUUAAAAAUAGCUUCAAACAUAAUUUUCGAUUUUCAAAAAGAAAUUUUGAAAAAAAUCAAAAAACAAAAUAAAAAAAAAAUUUAUAAAAAAGUUCAAAUUUGAAAAAAAGUAUAAUUCGAAAAUAUAAAAAAUUAGAUAAUUUUUUUUAUUUUUUAAUUUAAAUAAUGAUUUAUUAUUAUAUAUAUAGAGAACAAGGGUAUAAGAGUCUUUUGCCACUUAAUGAAGAAAAUAUUUUUGAAAAUUCCCUUUAGUGAUGGUAAAGAUAAAAAGUGAUACCAUAACAGUGGUAUGUUAAUAUUGCUUUAAGAGUAAACUGAAUAUUUUAAAUAUAUAUA
rnacentral:lncRNA from 1 species